UGUCGUCAGCUCGUGUUGUGAAAUGUUGGGUUAAGUCCCGCAACGAGCGCAACCCUUAUCCUUUGUUGCCAGCGGUCCGGCCGGGAACUCAAAGGAGACUGCCAGUGAUAAACUGGAGGAAGGUGGGGAUGACGUCAAGUCAUCAUGGCCCUUACGACCAGGGCUACACACGUGCUACAAUGGCGCAUACAAAGAGAAGCGACCUCGCGAGAGCAAGCGGACCUCAUAAAGUGCGUCGUAGUCCGGAUUGGAGUCUGCAACUCGACUCCAUGAAGUCGGAAUCGCUAGUAAUCGUGGAUCAGAAUGCCACGGUGAAUACGUUCCCGGGCCUUGUACACACCGCCCGUCACAC
rnacentral:rRNA from 2 species